rnacentral:rRNA from 1 species
GUCCACGCCGUAAACGUUGGGCACUAGGUGUGGGGCUCUAUCGACGGGUUCCGUGCCGAAGCUAACGCAUUAAGUGCCCCGCCUGGGGAGUACGGCCGCAAGGCUAAAACUCAAAGGAAUUGACGGGGCCCGCACAAGCGGCGGAGCAUGUGGCUUAAUUCGAUGCAACGCGAAGAACCUUACCAAGGCUUGACAUGCUGGUUAAUCCGUAGAAAUACGGUGAUCCUUCGGGAUCCAGCGCAGGUGGUGCAUGGCUGUCGU